AUGAUAGACGGAGGGAGCUGCAACAACUUGGCUAGCAUGGAGAUGGUGGAGAAGCUUUCUCUCACCACAAGACCACAUCCACAUCCUUACUACAUCCAAUGGUUCAACAACAGCGGCAAGGUUAAGGUAACACGUACUGUUCGUGUGCAUUUUAGUAUCUCUACAUAUGCUGAUUAUGUUGAUUGUGAUGUGGUACCUAUGCAAGCAUGUUCCUUAUUACUUGGUAGACCAUGGCAAUUUGAUAAAAAUUCUGUACACCAUGGUAGAAACAAUCACUAUACUCUUGUUCAUAAGGAUAAAAAUAUUACUUUGCUUCCUAUGACUCCUGAUUCCAUUUUGAAAGAUGAUAUUAAUAGAGCUAAUAAAGCAAAACAGGAGACGAAUAAGAGUGAAAAUCAGAUUGUGGCAAAAGAAUUUGAGCAACAAAUGAAGCCUAAUAAUAAACCAUCUAGUGUUGCUUCUGAAAUUAAAUUGAAAAGUGCAUGUUUAUUUGCCACCAAAUCUGAUAUUGAUGAGCUAGAUUUCAGCAAAUUUGUUUGCUAUGCUUUUGUGUGCAAAGAGGCAUUAUUUUCAUUCGAGGACGUGCCUUCCUCUUUGCCUCCUGCUGUCACUAACAUUUUGCAGGAGUUCGCUGACAUCUUUCCACAAGACGUGCCACCGGGAUUACCGCCUAUUCGAGGGAUUGAGCAUCAAAUUGACUUAAUUCCCGGUGCUUCACUGCCAAACCAUGCACCAUACCGUACCAAUCCAGAGGAGACGAAGGAGAUUAUGCGUCAAGUACAAGAGCUUCUCGACAAAGGUUAUAUACGCGAAUCCCUUAGUCCUUGUGCUGUUCCUAUUAUUCUAGUGCCGAAAAAGGAUGGUACAUCACGUAUGUGUGUUGAUUGUAGAGGCAUUAAUAAUAUUACUAUUCGUUAUCGUCAUCCUAUUCCUAGGCUAGAUGAUAUGCUUGAUGAAUUGAGUGGCUCUACAAUAUUCUCCAAAGUUGAUUUGCGUAGUGGAUACCAUCAAAUUCGUAUGAAAUUGGGAGAUGAAUGGAAAACAGCAUUUAAAACUAAGUUUGGAUUAUAUGAGUGGUUAGUCAUGCCUUUUGGGUUAACUAAUGCGCCUAGUACUUUCAUGAGACUAAUGAACGAAGUUUUACGUGCUUUCAUUGGAUGA
rnacentral:rRNA from 1 species